rnacentral:lncRNA from 1 species
UUAACAUUUAAGAACAUCUGUUUUCGGUACUUAAUAAUACUUAAAAACAUCUCAAUAUAAUUUACCGUCAUAUUUGAAUUUGAAAAUAUCGAGAGUCGUCUCUUAUGUACCGACGCUUAUGUCAAGCGUUAGUAGAAUAUAUUCUAAUACUUUAAAAUGUCAGAAAAAUUGAAAAUAAUAGUGGAGUUUAUUCUUCAAUAAAUUGGUUUGAUAUAAUAAACGGUUCAUAUGAGGACAUUUUCUGAAAUGUCGAUAUUUGUUGUAUUAUAAGAAUGCAUGGGGACGGUUCAUCUAAGUAUCAUUUAAAAAUCAAAAUGAACUCAUUCAUCAGGCUGUUUCCGUAAAUUUUUUUACUGAAUCAAAUUAAAGUGUUAUUAUCCCAACCAAUUAAUCCAAUCCAACC